rnacentral:tRNA from 1 species
GCUAAUUUGGCAAAAUAGUGUGUUAAAUUUAGGAUUUAUGAAUAGUGAUUAUUAAUUACAGUUAGUU